rnacentral:sRNA from 1 species
UAUAUGGUAUAAUUUGAAAAUGGUUCUCCUCCUAGGAAUAAGUAGGAACUGUUUAACCAAUGUCAUGCAUAUUUAAGUUCUGUUAUUGACAAGACAUUUGGAGUUCGGAAGAAAAAAUGGAGGAUUCCUUGUGAAUUUUCUAGAUAUAAUACUCAUGUGCAAAAGAGAGUAGUAAUGGCUACAAUGGGGCUACAUAAUUUUAUCAGAAUUUCAAAUUUUUCAAAUGAAGCUUUUGCAAAAGUAAUGCGAAAAACAGAGAUUACUGACAAAUUUUGAAACUAGUUAAGAGAAUAUCUAAGCUGCAGAGAUAGUUGAUGACGAUCUAAUGGCAAAUACGUGAUAGAGCAUAUGGAUGAACCAUGACAGCAAACAGACUUUUUUUAGAAAAAUAUAAAGAAUAACCUCCUGUAACCUCGUUUCUUCCACCUUAAACCUGUUGGUUUUCAUCCCAAGAAGCAGAAGACCUCACACAACUGUGAUCACCAUCACUGUUAAGCAAGAGCAGAAGAGCGUUGUAGCGGUUCACCCCCCAGCUAAAUGCAGCAGUACCCAUUUUUUAGAGAAACUGAAAACUGAAUGAAAAAGAAAGAAACUGGAGAGAAAGAAAGUGAGGGUUAUAAGUUGAUUUUCUUAUUAAUUUAUCAUGUAAUAUUGUGUGUUAGGGCAUCCCCAAGGCUAAACACCAUUUUGGUGUUCAAAUUACACCAAUUUUAGCGCUAAAACUUGUGUCCUCUCCAACCAUAACACCAUAACUCACACUAAAAGAAUAAUCUACUAUUAUAUUAUUUAUUUAAAAGAUU